UACAGAGGGUGCAAGCGUUGCUCGGAAUUAUUGGGCGUAAAGAGCUCGUAGGCGGUCUGUCGCGUCGGCUGUGAAAACCCGGGGCUCAACCCCGGGCCUGCAGUCGAUACGGGCAGACUAGAGUGCGGUAGGGGAGACUGGAAUUCCUGGUGUAGCGGUGAAAUGCGCAGAUAUCAGGAGGAACACCGGUGGCGAAGGCGGGUCUCUGGGCCGGUACUGACACUGAGGAGCGAAAGCGUGGGUAGCAAACAGG
rnacentral:rRNA from 1 species